CUUUGUGGCUUUUUGACAGUUUGAUAGUCAGCGGGAUCUCCUUUAAUAAAUACGGACAAUGUUGGAAAUACGCAGCUGAAUAGCCAGCGCGGGUGAAGAGAAAUUAAAUGAAAGUGAAUUUAGAUUUCCAGCAUCCACAGUGUUUUGCUUUUAUCAAAACAGCUCCUACUUGCUGUGGAUUCAGAAACUCAUUGCAAACUGGUCCCAGUUACAAAUGAUUUCAAACUAGAAAGGGCAAUGGAUCAGCUCAGAAAAUAUGUUAUACACCACAUUACUGUGGGUUUGGAGUCACAUCUAAGCCAGACCAGGGCAGGUACAUUACCUCGGAUUUCAUAAAACCACAAUUGCUUCAUUAAAACUUCUAAUUAUGAUCGUUAAACUUUUUCAACACUUCAUUUGAAGAUUCUCUUCUGCUGUUAUCACCACAAUCAACACGAUAUCCUGAUUGCACAAGCAAUGCGGUACUCCUUGCAAAAUUUUAUCCAUCGUAUCUUGAAGACUUUUGAAGAGGACUUCAAACUUAGGGAGUUACCAUAUGUGUGUGUUUAUCGUGUGAUACUGUUGACUCUCUUGAACCACAUCAAACUCUGCAUAAGCGUGAGACAAAUCCAACUUUAUGAAGAUUUUCCACCCUGCUAACUCCGCAUACAAAUCUUGGCAUGUUGGUUAUGGAUACUGCUCAUCAUACACUGCCUAGUUAAUAUGGCUUUGUAAUCUCCACGUAGUCUUAACAGUUUUAUCUGAUUUGGGUACUACCAUGAUGAUGGUUGCCCAAUCACUAUGAUCAGUUUUCAAUAGCACACCAUUUCUCUCUAGCUCCAAUAGUUCCUCUUCUGCCUAGGUUUUGAGAGUGUAAGUAACCAGGCUAGUCUUGCA